CAGGGAAGUGUGGGAGGAUAUAUUUUAGAGAAAGGUAGUUAAGAGAAAGUGAAUAAGUAGCAAGCAUUUACAGAGAUGGGUAAGGACAGGAGGAGGAGCUGAUGAAAGGGUGACCCAGAUCAGGGAAUAUCUUCCUGGAGUGGUGAUGAGGUGAAGAAAAUAUUAUACAGAGCACCUAUACCAAAAAGUACUUGCAAGGAAAAAGAAGGCAUUAGUCAAGGUUGAAUUUGGAAUCAAAGGAUCAAAGAUCAAAUCCCAGCUCUGCCACCUUUGUGACCUUGGAGAAGUCACAUAACCUCUCCAGACCUUUCUUCUGUAAGGAAUUUGAACCGGAUGACUUCUAAGUCCUCUUCUAACUCUGGAUCUCCAAUCCAAUAAACAUUUAUAAAGCACCUACUAUGUGCUAGGCAAUGUGUUAUGCCUGGGGGAUACAAUUAAUAAAAAGAAAGACGGUGUCCUGCUCUCAAGAUGCUUACAAUCUAAUGUGGAGGAGACAAUACACAAAAGGAGGCAAGGAGGGGGAAGGGAGGCAGAGGAAGAAGACAGACACCCGGGAGUAUCUUAUUCAGAGGAGCUGAAACCAAGCAGAAUAGCAGAUGCACAGUGAAAUAUAGGUCUGUGAGAACAAAUCAAAAUAACCAAACUGGUUUGUAUAAAGAGUGUGAGCCUCCAGAAAGCUAUCCAGCUUCCAGAUGCAGUUUGGGUUAUCAUCCACUCAGAGCCAUAGUUCAUGAGGCCCUGUU